rnacentral:rRNA from 1 species
UACGUAGGGUGCGAGCGUUGUCCGGAAUUACUGGGCGUAAAGAGCUCGUAGGUGGUUUGUCGCGUUGUUCGUGAAAACUCACAGCUUAACUGUGGGCGUGCGGGCGAUACGGGCAGACUGGAGUACUGCAGGGGAGACUGGAAUUCCUGGUGUAGCGGUGGAAUGCGCAGAUAUCAGGAGGAACACCGGUGGCGAAGGCGGGUCUCUGGACGACACCUGACACUGAGGCACGAAAGCCAGGGGAGCAAACAGG